GUGGCGUAUGGGGCGCAGCCUGAUGCAGCCAUGCCGCGUGUAUGAAGAAGGCCUUCGGGUUGUAAAGUACUUUCAGCGGGGAGGAAAGGAGUAAAGUUAAUACCUUUGCUCAUUGACGUUACCCGCAGAAGAAGCACCGGCUAACUCCGUGCCAGCAGCCGCGGUAAUAG
rnacentral:rRNA from 1 species